CUUUGGCCUAUAUUGUCAUGCUUUAUAAUCUGAUACUAGUCAGCAAAACUGGUACCAAAUGAAAGACCAUGUCUGACUUCCUAUAAGUCAAUAAUACAAAGUUAGUCGACAUCCGUCUCAGUUUUCAAGAUAGAAGCCGUUUUGGGGAUAUGCAAAUUAAGUACUUGAGCCCUGGUCACUUUAGAUGACAA